rnacentral:rRNA from 1 species
ACACAUGCAAGUCGAACGAUGAUUUCCCAGCUUGCUGGGAAUGAUUAGUGGCGGACGGGUGAGUAACAUUUAGGAAUCUGCCUAGUAGUGGGGGAUAGCUCGGGGAAACUCGAAUUAAUACCGCAUACGACCUACGGGUGAAAGGGGGCGCAAGCUCUUGCUAUUAGAUGAGCCUAAAUCAGAUUAGCUAGUUGGUGGGGUAAAGGCCCACCAAGGCGACGAUCUGUAACUGGUCUGAGAGGAUGAUCAGUCACACCGGAACUGAGACACGGUCCGGACUCCUACGGGAGGCAGCAGUGGGGAAUAUUGGACAAUGGGGGCAACCCUGAUCCAGCCAUGCCGCGUGUGUGAAGAAGGCCUUUUGGUUGUAAAGCACUUUAAGCAGGGAGGAGAGGCUAAUGGUUAAUACCCAUUAGAUUAGACGUUACCUGCAGAAUAAGCACCGGCUAACUCUGUGCCAGCAGCCGCGGUAAUACAGAGGGUGCGAGCGUUAAUCGGAAUUACUGGGCGUAAAGCGAGUGUAGGUGGCUCAUUAAGUCACAUGUGAAAUCCCCGGGCUUAACCUGGGAACUGCAUGUGAUACUGGUGGUGCUAGAAUAUGUGAGAGGGAAGUAGAAUUCCAGGUGUA